AAUUUUGGACAAUGGGGGAAACACUGAUCCAGCCAUCUCGCGUGUAUGAUUAAGGCCUUCGGGUUGUAAAGAACUCUUGGCAGAGAAGAAAAGGGAUCUCCUUAUACGAGAUACUGCUGACGGUAUCUGCAGAAUAUGCACCGGCUAACUACGUGCCAGCAGCAGCGGUAAUACGUAGGGUGCAAGCGUUAAUCGGAAUUACUGGGCGUAAAGCGUGUGUAGGCGGUUCGGAAAGAAAGAUGUUAAAUCCCCGGGCUCCACCUUGGAACUGCAUUUUUAACUGCCGAGCUAGAGUAUGUCAGAGGGGGGUAGAAUUCCACGUGUAGCAGUGAAAUGCGUAGAUAUGUGGAGGAAUACCGAUGGCGAAGGCAGCCCCCUGGGAUAAUACUGACGCUCAGACACGAAAGCGUGGGGAGCAAACA
rnacentral:rRNA from 1 species